AGGAGGAGGAGGAGAAGAAGGAGGAGAAGGAGAAGGAGGAGGAGAAGGAGAAGAAGAAGAAGAAGGGAGGAUUCCUGAGUUUCAGAGCUGUGCAGGACUUCAUCAGCAACCUCUUCCAGCUGCUAAAAUUCCCAUAGAUGAAAGACCCCAGGCAACUCAUUGUGAAGAUGCCCACCCCACCACUGGGUGAUUCCUUAUGGAGAACUAUAGAGCAUUCCCAGCCUUAGCCCAGAUCGUCACUUUCUCUUCUGUGCAUUUGAGAAGCAAGCAGGCGUCUCUCCAGCAUCUGCAGCUCUAGGUUCCACCCCAUAAUUUUACAGAAGAGACAGACAUGCAAUUAAGAUGACCUGCCUGGGGCCCACAACAUUAGAUCAUUUCCUCAUAUAGCAUGAAUUUGACAAAGUUCACAGAAAAUGGAACGUACUCACAGGGUGCCAUCAAAACAAAAAGGCUGGCUCAGAAUCAGGUAAGACAAAUUUGUGGCAAGAUAAGAUCAUUCAUUUAUAUAUAUGGAUAUAUAUCAAUUGUUUUAGUCCACAUACUACAUGAACAGGUAUUAAUAAAAUCUAUUCAUUUGUGUGGAAAAUUUCCCAACCAUUUGCUAUUUAAAGGAAC
rnacentral:lncRNA from 1 species